GACUUAUUUAUUUAUUUGAGAGGUAGAGUUACAGACAGAGAGAGGGAGAGACAGAGAGAAAGGUUUUUCAUCUGCUGGUUCACUCUGAGCCAAUCUGAAAACCAGGAUCCAGGAAAUUCUUCAGGGUCUCCCAUGUAGGUGCAGUUGCCCAAGUAAUUGGACGAUCUACACUGCUUUCCCAGACCAUAAAAAGAGAGAGGGAUCAGAAGAGGAGCAGCUGCAACAUGUGGGAUGCAGGCGCUAAAGGCAGAGGCUGAGCCUACUACGCCACAGUGCCGGCCUCCUCGUUUCACUUUUUAUGUUCAUGUUUACCUCAGGUUAGCUGACUAUACUCUUUCUGACCUAUACCAGGCCAUAGGCAAAAGGUAUGGCCUUUAGAUUCACAGUGUCAUAGGAUAAUUCUUUUUUUAAAAACUUCUUAUUAAAAAUGAACUUCUUAUUAAAAAUUCUUAUUUUAAAUUUUAUUUUUUAUAAAAUGCAUUUGUAGAAAUGUUUCAUUAAAUACUGGUCCUACAAAAAUAAAAAUAAAGCAAACAUACAUGUUACAUAUGUUACUUAGACAUAAACACACAUUAUUUACAAGUUCAAAAAUUCAAAAACUCCAGCAAGUUUCUCCAUGAUUCUCAACAAAUCUGAUAAGUAGAGGAAACAAUAAUAGCACAAAUACACUACACACUAUGCAUAUUUUUGUUUUUGAAAAAUUAAUCAUUACAAAUAUAUGAACACAGGGCUGGCGCCAUGGCUCACUUGGUUAAUCCUCCACCUGCAUCCCAUAUGGGUGCCGGGUUCUAGUCCCAGCUGCUCCUCUUCCAGUCCAGCUCUCUGCUGUGACCCAGGAGGGCAGUGGAGGAUGGCCCAAGUGCUUGGGCCCUGCACCCACAUGGGAGACCAGGAGGAAGCACCUGGCUCCUGGCUUCGGAUUGGCACAGCGCCGGCCAUAGCAGCCAUUUGGGGAGUGAACCAAUGGAAGGAAGAACUUUCCCUCUGUCUGUCUCUCUCUCUCUCUCACUGUCUAUAACUCUACCUGUCAAAUAAUAUACAUAUAUAUGAACACAAGAAGUGUGGGAGUGUACAUUCUAAGAGCAAAGUUUGGUUUACUAUUUUAUUCUAAUUUUCCAAACUAGACCCUACUGGAAAUCAUCCAAUCCUUUCCACUCAAAUCACUUUGCUUAAAGCAUAACACGCAAACUGGUAAGAAGAGGAGCAAACGAGUCUGUAAUUCCAUUGUCAUCUCUGGUAUUAGGAGCUAUCUGUAUUCUACUUUGCUUUACUAAUUUAUUUAGUAUUUAAAAUAGUCCAGGCCGGCGCCGUGGCUCAAUAGGCUAAUCCUCUGCCUAGCGGCGUCAGCACACCAGGUUCUAGUCCUGGUCGGGGCGCCAGAUUCUGCCCCGGUUGCCCCUCUUCCAGUCCAGCUCUCUGCUAUGGCCAGGGAGUGCAGUGGAGGAUGGCCCAAGUGCUUGGGCCCUGCACCCCAUGGGAGACCAGGAUAAGCACCUGGCUCCUGCCAUCGGAUCAGCGCGGUGUGCAGGCAGCAGCACGCCAGCUGUGGCGGCCAUUGGAGGAUGAACCAACUGCAAAAGGAAGACCUUUCUCUCUGUCUCUCUCUCUCUCACUGUCCACUCUGCCUGUCAAAAAAAAUAGUCCAAAGUCAUAAUUCAUUUAUCAGGCACUCUCUUUUUGUGAGGUACUAUUAAUUAGUUUCUCCAUGUUAACUGAUAAUGGUGAUAUUGGAGAUUAAUUUAUGAGUUAGUCUGGUUAUUGCUGAGUCGCAAGCUUCCUGAGCUACAUUAUAUUGCAUUUCUUUAGUACUGUCAUGUUCUUUUUCCAUUGAGUAUACUUUGGUAAAUUUGGGUUAUGCUGAGUUUCCUGAUUUAGGUUCAUAAAUUAUUAUUUUUUAAAGAUUUAUUUAUUGUACUGAAAGUCACAGUUAUACAGAGACAGGAGAGGCAGAGAGAGAGAGAGAGAAAGAGAGACAGAGAGAGCGAGAGAGAGAGAGGUCUUCCAUCCACUGCUUCACUCCCCAGAUGGCUGCAACAGCCAGAGCUGAGCUGAUCUGAAGCCAGGAUCCAGGAGCCAGGAGCCUCCUCUGGGCCUCCCACAGGGGUGCAGGGGCCCAAGGAAUUGGGCCAUCUUCUACUGCUUUCCCAUAGGCCCAUAAAUUAUUAACUGGAGUGCUGGAGAUAUUACCUAAGCCCUGAUUUUUUAUUAUUUGUUUAUUACACUUGAGAUAAACCCACUUUACUAUGAAGUUAAAUGAUACUGUGAAGACAUCAUUUCCUACUAUGUGUUUAAGACAUAAUAAACACUUAAGUGGGCCAGUGCCGUGGCUCACUAGGCUAAUCCUCCGGGCUGACACACAGGUUCUAGUCCCGGUCGGAGCGCCGGAUUCUGUCCCGGUUGCCCCUUUUCCAGGCCAGCUCUCUGCUAUGGCCCGGGAGUGCAGUGGAGGAUGGCCCAAGUGCUUGGGCCCUGCACCCCAUGGGAGACCAGGAGAAGCACCUGGCUCCUGGCUUUGGAUCAGCGUGGUGCGCCAGUCACAGUGCGCCGGCUGCGGUGGCCAUUGGAAGGUGAACCAAUGGCAAAAGGAAGACCUUUCUCUCUGUCUCUCUCUCUCUCUCUCACUGUCCACUCUGCCUGUCAAAAAAAAAAAAAAAAAAAAAAACCAAACACUUAAGUAAUGACUUAUACGUCUUUUUUUUAUUUAAAAACUACUGACUUUUUCAUUUUAUCUAUUUGAAAGGCAGAAUGAUGAUAGAUAGAUACAUAGAUAGAUCGCUCUAAACCAUUCAGUUGUCACUUGUUUUUUACUCUAAAAUAAGUCACCGUCUAUAACAUUCCAAAAAUUACAUAAAGCUAAUAGAAAAAUUCCAGUAAUUUAAACUUUUCUUUAAUUCCUUGAAGUGGCUUGAUAUAUGAAUUGUAUUGUUAGUUAUCUCUAUACCUUGAUUUUACUGUCUGUAAGAAGAUGACAAUACCAGGAAGCUCUCUCUACCUCAUACAAUUUUGAAUUAGCCAGCUGAAGGAAUGCAUACAUCAUCCCAUGUCAUGCUUUAUAAAGCAUGAAGUUAGGAUAAUGAGGUGGUGAGAGCAUGAGCUUGGAGGUCAAACCUGUCUGGGUCCCCUGGCUGCCCUGCCAUUUAAUAACUGUGUGCCACUGAACACUGUGUAACUGCUCUGCAUUUCAGAUUCGUCAUCAGGAAAUAUCAUGCUAAUGAAUAACUCCAGAGAUGUCUGUGUGGAUUAGGCCAGACAAUGCAGAUAAAGUCCUUGGCACGGAGUGCAGAGUGGCGCACAAAGUCUCUUUGAAGUACCCUUGUAUCUUGUCCUGUACUCACUCAUCUUUCUUAACUAUGUGAAGUGAUACAACGUCUAGAUGACAAGAUGAAAUGUCAGCAUACAUCUGAGAGCUUAAAAUACACACCUACAUUAUCUUAUGAUCUCUGUAGCACAGGAGUCCAGCAUCUCUUGGCUGGGUCCUCUGCUUCUGAGUCUCUUACUAAAUUGCUGUUGUUCAGAGCUGGAAUCUCCUGCAAGGCUCAGCUGAUGAAGGAUCCACUCCCCAGCUUACUGUAGUGUUGGAGGGUGCAGUUGCUUGCAGAUUGCUGAAUCGAAGGCCCAAUUCCAUCAUCAGCUAUUGCCAGAGUCUUUCCUCAUUCUUUUGUUACAUUACUUUGUAUCCUAUUGAGUAAAUGAAUACAGUAAAUUCUACCUGCACUAAUAAAUAGAGGAUUACACAAGGAAUCCAGAAGGUUGGAGGAUGCCUGCAGAUUAUUGGAGACACUCAGCCACAAAUCGCAAUCCAUGGAAUAACUGGAAAUUUCACACAAUGCUUGUGGAAAGUAAAAUAGUAUUAUCACUUUGUAAAAGACAUUUUGGCAGUUCCUUAUGAUUUUAAAUGUAUACCUACCAUAUAACUCAACAGACAUCAUUUUCUUGGCAUUUUCAUAGAAGAAAUAAAGGCACAAGUGCUGCUGCAAGAAAUUUUACAGUAGUUGUACGUACAAUAGACACAACUUGGAAACAACCCAAGCAGCCAUGGAUGUACAGAAGACGAAACAGUCUGUAGCAUGCUCACACUCAACAAAAAAUGCAAUGAACAACUGGUCUAUACAAGAUGAAUGAUGAAAAGAUUCUGAGUGAAGUAAGCUAGAGUUUAAAUGAUACUUAUGGUAUGAUUACAUUUUUAUAAAAUUGCAUGAAAAAAAUUGCAGGGAUUGAAAGCAGAAGAGUGACUGACUGCGCGGGGAUGUGUAGAGACUUGGUGGUGGUGGGGUGACAGGAGCGAUUGUGAAAGGACAUGAGAAUGUGUCUGGUGAUAGACCUGUUCAAUUUUUUGCCUGUGGUGGUGAUUUCAUGGAACAUACGGGAGAUGAAAUAGACACUUUCAAUGUGUGCA